UGAGGAAUUUUGCGCAAUGGCCGCAAGGCUGACGCAGCAACGCCGCGUGGGUGAUGAAGGCCUUCGGGUCGUAAAGCCCUGUCAGGUGGGAAGAAAGGUUUUCGGUCGAAUAGGCUGGGAAUUUGACGGUACCACCAGAGGAAGCACCGGCUAACUCCGUGCCAGCAGCCGCGGUAAUACGGAGGGUGCGAGCGUUAUUCGGAAUUACUGGGCGUAAAGCGCGUGCAGGCGGGAAGGUAAGUCUGAUGUGAAAGCCCUGGGCUUAACCUGGGAAGUGCAUUGGAUACUGCUUUUCUUGAGUACUGGAGAGGAAGGGGGAAUUCCCGGUGUAGAGGUGAAAUUCGUAGAGAUCGGGAGGAAUACCAGUGGCGAAGGCGCCCUUCUGGACGGUUACUGACGCUGAGACGCGAAAGCGUGGGGAGCAAACAGG
rnacentral:rRNA from 1 species